rnacentral:rRNA from 1 species
AACGAACGCUGGCGGCAUGCCUAACACAUGCAAGUCGAACGAAGGCUUCGGCCUUAGUGGCGCACGGGUGCGUAACGCGUGGGAAUCUGCCCUUUGGUUCGGAAUAACAGCUGGAAACGGCUGCUAAUACCGGAUGAUGACGAAAGUCCAAAGAUUUAUCGCCAGAGGAUGAGCCCGCGUUGGAUUAGGUAGUUGGUGGGGUAAAGGCCUACCAAGCCGACGAUCCAUAGCUGGUCUGAGAGGAUGAUCAGCCACACUGGGACUGAGACACGGCCCAGACUCCUACGGGAGGCAGCAGUGGAGAAUAUUGGACAAUGGGCGCAAGCCUGAUCCAGCAAUGCCGCGUGAGUGAUGAAGGCCCUAGGGUUGUAAAUCUCUUUUACCCGGGAAGAUAAUGACGGUACCGGGAGAAUAAGCCCCGGCUAACUCCGUG